AUAACACAUAUUGCUAACAUACGUCUUUCUGUUAUUAUUUUUCAAGAGUGAUAUAGUUUUUUGGCUUUUUUAGAGUUCUCGUUUUUCAAAAUGUUACAAUCCAUGACAUAUCUUAUCUUACUUCAAAAUAAUUAAGUUGUGCAAUAAUUAUUAAGGUAUUGUGGUGCAUUAAUAAGUGUCAAAUGGAUAAAAUAGAGACAUUUUUAUUUUACUUCUUAGGGUACUUGACAUGAAAGAUUAUGCUUCCCUUUGGUGCAUUUUCGUAAAUUGAUUCAUUUUAUUUUGUUUUGUAUAUUCAAAUUUUCAAAAUAGUUAAUGCAAAAGAAACCCAGAAUAAAUAUUUAAAAAUGAACAAAAAUAGUUGAUAAUUCUUAAUAAUGCCUUUUUAUAAAUAAAACAAAAAUGUUAGUUCUUAUAAUAUAUAAAUUAGUCUUAUUUUUAAGUAAAUAGUCACACUUGGUUAAACAUGAAAUGUUCAUAUCAAGUUAAUAUUGUGAUAUCAGAGUAAAAAUUAUAAUCUGGCUUGGUGCUGCUCGGUGAUAGAGAAAAUUUUAUAUAGAUAAAGACUGAAAGUAAAAGUUGAAAUAUUGUACCAAACAUUUGUAUGAUUGAUGAAUAAUGUGAAAAGACUAUAAACAUCAGAGUAGUAAUUAUUAUCUGGUUUGGUGCUGCUCAGUGAUAGAGAGAACUUAUUUAGAAGAGACUGUGAAAAAGUUGAGAUAUUGUACCAAACAUUUGUAUGAUUUAGUGUGGGAAACUUGCAGUACACAGGAAUUGAUUGGUUUAAAGAUUAAAUUAUAUUGUGAAGAAAUGAUGAAAACAUUAGUUUUGUCAGAAAUUGGGAUGAUUGUCAAUCUUUAAGCUCAUUAGUGAACACAUAUAUCAUUUCUUUUUGAAUGUUUAACUAUUUUAAACCAACAAAAUUCUUUUAUUUUAUCAGUGUAUAGUUACUGUUAGUGAAAAAAUGGUUAUGUAUUCAUUGCAGAUAUAUAUAGAUGUAUUGUAUGUAUUGCUAAGCAUAUGAUAGUCAGUCUGUUUGUCAUUUUGUAAAUUCACAACAUUUUGUGUUUAAAUGCUGUAUAAAUGCUCCUGCUUGUUUGUCCUAUGGUUAUCUUUGUCAUGUAACACACCAUGUGAUUGCAAGGAAUGUAAACCAUGUAUAUUUUUUUUACUUUCAUAAUGACUGUCUCUGCUUGUGUUUAAGGCGUUUUUUCUCUAAUCAUGAAAUAAUUUCACUGAUUUAAUGACGAUUUUAGUCAUGGGAAGUCCCACAUUUGCUUUCCUACUCUUGUAGUUAGUCUUAAUUAUUCUGACAUAGGUACGCUUUCCUCAAAUUUCAUUUUAUAAAAAGUUUCAGAAUCGAUGUUGUAUUUAGAAAAGUUGACCUUGUGCAUUUUAUUUAAAAAAAAAUGGUAUCCAUUCAAAGUACAUUUUUAGAAUCGAAGCUGGUCAAUUUCCAUGUUUGUGAAGAGGAUGGAAGUGACAAUUUUUAUUAUUACAAAAUUGACAAUGUGGGACUUUCCAUGAUUUCUGACCAUUUGAAUUCAUUUGAAAAUCAAAUAGUUUUCGAAAUUACAAGUGAAACAAUAUGUUUUCAUGUUAGUUUUUGAAAUCAAUUUAUCUGUAAUUGAGCAUCUUGCUGUUGCAUUUUACAUAACUGUAUUAUAGAUCAUAGAUCAAAGAAUGUUUGUUGUCUGAGAGAGAUUUUGUUUACCAUAUGUUUAAGUUUGAUGAUAGAUAUUAAAAAUAUUUCCAAUAAUUGAUAUCUUUUUCUGUUAUCCAGUCCUUUUUUUUAUUGUAUUAAAUAGUCAAUAUUUUGUGGAAUUAUUGCUAAUGACGCAUCUAUCCAGGUAAUAACUGCAAAUCACUGUGUUGGCAUUCACCAUAAAAACACUUACACGAUAAUGUUAGCUUUAAAAGACCAAUAGGAUGACGUGAAACAAACAAGAUUUGUACAACACAGCUAACAACAGACAUCAUGGCAGAAAGGAAACAAGGAGAACCACUGUAUAACGUGUUCUGAUAUGGGAUAGGCAUUACUACACGAAACUCGACAUCAUAAUUCUAGAACUUAAAAAAUCAAGUAUGCAGC
rnacentral:lncRNA from 1 species